CACGUAGGGGGCGAGCGUUGUCCGGAUUUAUUGGGCGUAAAGAGCUCGUAGGCGGCUCAGUAAGUCAGGUGUGAAAACUCCAGGCUCAACCUGGAGACGCCACCUGAUACUGCUGUGGCUAGAGUCCGGUAGGGGAGCAUGGAAUUCCUGGUGUAGCGGUGAAAUGCGCAGAUAUCAGGAGGAACACCAGUGGCGAAGGCGGUGCUCUGGGCCGGAACUGACGCUGAGACGCGAAAGCGUGGGGAGCAAACAGG
rnacentral:rRNA from 1 species